rnacentral:rRNA from 1 species
GCAAGUCGAACGGAAACAUGUCUAGCUUGCUAGAUGAUGUCGAGUGGCGGACGGGUGAGUAAUGCCUGGGAAUUUGCCUUUGUGUGGGGGAUAACUAUUGGAAACGAUAGCUAAUACCGCAUAAUACCUACGGGUCAAAGGGGGGACUUGUCCUCUCGCGCAUUGAGAAGCCCAGGUGAGAUUAGCUAGUUGGUGAGGUAAAGGCUCACCAAGGCGACGAUCUCUAGCUGUUCUGAGAGGAAGAUC